CCCUUAGAUGUUCUGGGCCGCACGCGUGCUACACUGAGUGGAUCAGCGGGUCAGGUUGCGCGAAAGUGUUUCCUAAUCUUGAAAUCCGCUCGUGAUGGGGAUUGACGGUUGCAAUUUUCCGUCAUGAACGAGGAAUACCUUGUAAGCGCGGGUCAUCAUCCCGCGCUGAAUACGUCCCUGCCCUUUGUACACACCGCCCGUCGCUCCUACCGAUUGAGUGGUCCGGUGAGGCUUUGGGAUCUGAGCGGAAAGAGCGUUUCGCUGUUUCUGCUCGGAAAACUCAGUCGAACCUUAUCAUUUAGAGGAAGGAGAAUUCGUAACA
rnacentral:rRNA from 1 species